GAUUAAGAACGCAGCGAAAUGCGAUAAGUAAUGUGAAUUGCAGAAUUCAGUGAAUCAUCGAAUCUUUGAACGCACAUUGCGCCCGCCAGUAUUCUGGCGGGCAUGCCUGUUCGAGCGUCAUUUCAACCAUCAAGCCCCAGGCUUGUGUUGGGGACCUGCGGCUGCCGCAGGCCCUGAAAACCAGUGGCGGGCUCGCUGUCACACCGGGCGUAGUAGAUUUUAUCUCGCUCAGGGCGUGCUGCGGGUUCCGGCCGUUAAAAAGCCUUUUUUACCCAAGGUUGACCUCGGAUCAGGUAGGAAGACCCGCUGAACUUAAGCAUAUCAAUAAGCGGAGGA
rnacentral:misc_RNA from 1 species